rnacentral:piRNA from 1 species
UAAUGAGGACGAGAUCCUCAACAGGGAC